UAGGAGUAUCCCAGGCUAAGAGGUGGUGUGUAGCUUCCCUGGCCUUCUGGGAUAUUUACUUAGUACUUACGUCCAUUUUAAGUUCAGGAAAGCGGGAUGUCUCUGGCGGGGUCCAGGAAAGGGUCCAUGAACAGUCUUUAUCCGGAAGUGUCUGAGAUUCUGACAAGGCAGGAAAAUGGCCGCGGGGUGACCUCGUAUGACCUGAUAUCAAGGACGCUACACCAGGUCAGUGUUUUUUUUUUCUUUCUUUUUUUUGUUUUUUUUUUCUCUUUUUUAUUUUUCUGCGUCAUCGUUUGUCGGCAUAUUUGUGUCUAUUGGUUGUCGCUGACUCAUUUUUAUCGUUUUGUUAUUUUCUGUCUCUUUGUCUCUCGGUCUAUCCGUCUCUCUCUGUCGCUCUGUCUGUCUCUGUCUCUAUCUCUGUGUCUGUCUUCGUCUGUCUGUCUGU